UACGUAGGGGUCGAGCGUUGUCCGGAGUUACUGGGCGUAAAGCGUGUGCAGGCGGCUCAUUGCGCCCGGCGUGAAAGCCCCCGGCUCAACCGGGGAGAGUCGUCGGGGACGGGUGAGCUUGAGGGUAUCAGGGGCUGGUGGAAUUCCUGGUGUAGCGGUGAAAUGCGUAGAGAUCAGGAGGAACACCCGUGGCGAAGGCGGCGCCCUGGUCCGUCCCUGACGCUGAGACGCGAAAAGCGCGGGGGAGCGAACGGG
rnacentral:rRNA from 1 species